rnacentral:rRNA from 1 species
UACGUAGGGGGCAAGCGUUGUCCGGAUUUAUUGGGCGUAAAGAGCGUGUAGGCGGUUUGGUAGGUCCGCUGUGAAAACUCGAGGCUCAACCUCGAGACGCCGGUGUGAAACCAUCAGACUAGAGUCCGGAAGAGGAGAGUGGAAUUCCUGGUGUAGCGGUGAAAUGCGCAGAUAUCAGGAAGAACACCCGUGGCUAAGGCGGCUCUCUAGUACGGUACUGACGCUGAGACGCGAAAGCGUGGGGAGCGAACAGG